rnacentral:rRNA from 1 species
GUCUCAGGCCGUAUCAGCCUGAAAGGCGCCCCGAUCUCGUCUGAUCUCGGAAGCUAAGCAGGGUCGGGCCUCGUUAGGAUCUUGGGAUGGGAGACCACCUGGGAAUCCUGGGUGCUCGAGGCU